UACGGAGGGGGCUAGCGUUGUUCGGAAUUACUGGGCGUAAAGCGCACGUAGGCGGCUUUGCAAGUUAGAGGUGAAAGCCCGGGGCUCAACUCCGGAAUUGCCUUUAAAACUGCAUCGCUAGAAUUGUGGAGAGGUAAGUGGAAUUCCGAGUGUAGAGGUGAAAUUCGUAGAUAUUCGGAAGAACACCAGUGGCGAAGGCGACUGACUGGACAGGUAUUGACGCUGAGGUGCGAAAGCGUGGGGAGCAAACAGG
rnacentral:rRNA from 1 species